UCAGAACGAACGCUGGUGGCAUGCCUAAUACAUGCAAGUCGAACGAGAAAGCUACUUCGGUAGUGAUUAGAGUGGCGCACGGGUGAGUAACACGUAGGUGACCUGCCUUUUAGUGGGGAAUAACUUGGGGAAACUCGGGCUAAUACCGCAUAAGCUUAGCAAACUUGAAAGUAGCUAAGGAAAGAUUGCCUCUAUACUAUGCAGUCGCCGAUUGAGGAGCCUGCGAGACAUUAGCUUGAUGGUGGGGUAAUGGCCUACCAUGGCUGCGAUGUCUAGCGGAUUUGAGAGAAUGAUCCGCCACACUGGAACUGAGACACGGUCCAGACUCCUACGGGAGGCAGCAGUAGGGAAUAUUGCGCAAUGGGGGAAACCCUGACGCAGCAAUGCCGCAUGAGUGAGGAAGGUCUUAGGAUUGUAAAGCUCUGUCAAUGAGGAAAAACGGCAUUAUGGUUAAUACCCAUAGUGUUUGAUGGUACUCAUAAAGGAAGCACCGGCUAACUUCGUGCCAGCAGCCGCGGUAAUACGAAGGGUGCAAGCGUUGUUCGGAUUUAUUGGGCGUAAAGCGCGCGCAGGCGGAUUUGUAAGUCAGAUGUGAAAUCUCGGGGCUCAACCUCGAAACUGCGUCUGAAACUACUAAUCUAGAAUCUUGGAGAGGGAAGGGGAAUUUCAUGUGUAGGGGUAAAAUCCGUAGAGAUAUGAAGGAACACCAGAGGCGAAGGCGCCUUCCUGGACAAGUAUUGACGCUGAGGCGCGAAAGCGUGGGGAGCGAACAGGAUUAGAUACCCUGGUAGUCCACGCCGUAAACGAUGAGCACUAGAAUUCGGGGGAUUGACCCCUUCGGAUUCGCAGCUAACGCAUUAAGUGCUCCGCCUGGGGAGUACGGUCGCAAGACUAAAACUCAAAGGAAUUGACGGGGGCCCGCACAAGCGGUGGAUUAUGUGGUUUAAUUCGAAGCAACGCGCAGAACCUUACCUAGGUUUGAAAUCCUACGAAUCUGAUAGAGAUAUCGGAGUGCCCUUCGGGGAAUGUAGUGACAGGCGCUGCAUGGCUGUCGUCAGCUCGUGUUGUGAAAUGUUGGGUUAAGUCUCGCAACGAGCGGAACCCCUAUCUUUAGUUGCCAGCAUUAAGUUGGGCACUCUAGAGAGACUGCCGAGGUUAACUCGGAGGAAGGUGGGGAUGACGUCAAGUCCUCAUGGCCCUUAUAUCCAGGGCUACACACGUGAUACAAUGGUUGGUACAGAGGGACGCUACCUCGCAAGAGCACGCAAAUCUCCAAAAGCCAAUCUCAGUCCGGAUUGGAGUCUGCAACUCGACUCCAUGAAGUUGGAAUCGCUAGUAAUCGUGGAUCAGCACGCCACGGUGAAUACGUUCCCGGGCCUU
rnacentral:rRNA from 1 species